AAUAAAAAUCUAUCAUGGAUCCACUUUUUACAAAUAUCGAAUUUCUAAGCUAUUUACAAGCUAGUCUGAAUAAUAUUUUUGGUCUUUUUAUCGUACCAUCAAAUGUUGUGCACUUGUUUCAAAGAUACAACGCAAAAAUCUUCACCAGAAACGAUUUGUGUGAAAUAAAAGCCAAAGAAGACACUAAAGGUGAGGUAGCAGCAAGUUCUCUACUGCUUGAGAGGCUGAUGAUUUAUGAAGGCUAGUAUCCGUGCUUAAUAAAGGUUCUUAAUGACCCAGGUGCUAAACUCGGACACAUUGUGACACUUGUUAAAAAAGCUGUCAUCGAAGCAGAGAAUAGCUGUAAAUCUAUUGGUGCAGAGAAUUCCAACCAAUGCUGUAAACAUCAAAAUUUAAAUUUGGCAGCAGAAAACAACGACUUGAAACGAAAAAAUGACUCUUUGGAGAAAGAAAAACUUGAGCUUCAACAAAUAAUUCAGAGACUACAGGAUGAAAAAGCUAAGAUGUCUAAUUCAAAAGCCAAAUUAGUAGAAUACAACAAACAGCUGAACAUUAAAAUUGAAAUAAACCGGGAGUGAUCUCCCCUAAACUUUCUCGAAUGUUCGAAUAUAACACUACGUGGGAUGGCAACACGGAGUAUAGACAUGAUUUUUGUUUUUCUUAAACUUUUAAAAAUAGAAUAAAAUCUAGUAGAAAAAAGAAUUGCGCACAAAGCAAACGCCAAAGCAAAAAGUGCAUAAUAGUGCGCUAUAUUAUUAGUUCUUUAUAAAUUUACAUGCGUUUUUUGAGAAAUCGGAUAUAGCGUAAAUUAGUACUUCCGAUCAACGGAAAUUAAUCAAACUUUGAAAGAAGGAAGAGAAUUAGAUUUUUUACUUACAUGUGAAAUUUCAUUUAUCUAUAUGAAAUAGUACUCAAGUUAUAGGCUUAUGAAAAAUUCAAAGUAGAAAAAAGACCACUUCCGGUUGUCGGAAAUCGCUCAAAUAUUGUUACCUAUCUACGAUUUUGAUAAAAUACCUAUAUAUAAAAUUUCAUCACCCUAGCUGUAACGGUACUCAAGUUAUCGUGUUUAAACACAGACAGAUAGACAGACACACAACAACACAGACAUACGGACAAGAUUGCAAAAAACAUUUCCGUAUCAGUGAAGUGUAAAACGUCGAGAUUUGCAAAAAUCUUCGAUUUUUUUUUGCACGAUUACAAGACUUUCUCUAUACUUCGUAUAUACGAGAAAGUAAAAAUAAAUGAAACUAGACCACCCGUCAUCCUUUGGAUAACUGUGGGUUAAGGGGUUAUUUAAAGAGGACUUUUUUGACAUUUAUGUCUCCACCCCCCCCCCCCUCCCAGAUCGCCACAUAUUUUUGUGUGUAACUUAAGAACCAGGUUUUUUUUCUGUCAAAACGGCUAUCAUAAAAAAAGUUAAGGGUGCUGACUGUAUGCAAUUUGUUUAAAAAUAACUAUUUCGUCGUACACUUUACAGUAGAGCAACGUGAACCAUAUUACACAUUCAGAUUAUCAGAUUGAAAUAAUACUUAAGUGUUUUGGGCUAUAUACAUU